rnacentral:rRNA from 1 species
UACGGGAGGCAGCAGGGGGGAAUAUUGCACAAUGGGCGAAAGCCUGAUGCAGCUAUGCCGCGUGUAUGAAGAAGGCCUUAGGGUUGUAAAGUACUUUCAUCGGGGAGGAAAAACAAAACUAAUAAUUUUAUUUCUUGACGUUACCCGAAAAAGAAGCACCGGCUAACUCCGUGCCAGCAGCCGCGGUAAUACGGAGGGUGCUAGCGUUAAUCAGAAUUACUGGGCGUAAAGAGCACGUAGGUGGUUUUUUUAAAGUCAGAUGUGAAAUCCCUGGGCUUAACCUAGGAACUGCAUUUUGAAACUGAAAUACUAGAGUAUCGUAGAGGGAGGUAGAAUUCUAGGUGUAGCGGUGAAAUGCGUAGAUAUCUGGAGGAAUACCUGUGGCGAAAGCGGCCUCCUAAACGAAUACUGACACUGAGGUGCGAAAGCGUGGGGAGCAAACAGGGAUUAGAUACC